CCAAUAGCGUAUAUUAAAGUUGUUGCAGUUAAAAAGCUCGUAGUUGAAUUUCGGGGUUAGUAGGCUGGUCGUGCCACUGGUACGUACUGGUCUCACUGAUUCCUCCUUCCUGAUGAACUGUAAUGCCAUUAAUUUGGUGUUGCAGGGAAACUGGACUGUUACUUUGAAAAAAUUAGAGUGUUUAAAGCAAGCUAACGCUUGAAUACAUUAGCAUGGAAUAAUGAAAUAGGACGUUCGAUCCUAUUUUGUUGGUUUCUAGGAUUGACGUAAUGAUUAAUAGGGAUAGUUGGGGGCAUUAGUAUUCAAUUGUCAGAGGUGAAAUUCUUGGAUUUAUUGAAGACUAACUACUGCGAAAGCAUUUGCCAAGGAUGUUUUCAUUAAUCAAGAACGAAAGUUAGGGGAUCGAAGACGAUCAGAUACCGUCGUAGUCUUAAUCAUAAACUAUGCCGACUAGGGAUCGGAUGAUGUUAAUUUUUUAAUGACUCAUUCGGCGCCUUACG
rnacentral:rRNA from 1 species